rnacentral:tRNA from 1 species
GGGCCGGUAGAUCAGUCUGGUAGAUCGCCGCGCUGGUAACGCGGAGGUCGCGGGUUCAAAUCCCGCCCGGUCCA